rnacentral:tRNA from 1 species
GGAGAAAUACCCAAGUUGGUUGAAGGGGCUCGCCUGGAAAGCGGGUAGGCCGUGAAUAGCGGCGCGAGGGUUCGAAUCCCUCUUUCUCCG